AUCCAGCUGACGUUUCCUGAACAGGACGAAACGUGAGUCUUGGAU
rnacentral:hammerhead_ribozyme from 1 species